AGGGAGCUUGCUCCCGGAUGUUAGCGGCGGACGGGUGAGUAACACGUGGGUAACCUGCCUGUAAGACUGGGAUAACUCCGGGAAACCGGAGCUAAUACCGGAUAGUUCCUUGAACCGCAUGGUUCAAGGAUGAAAGACGGUUUCGGCUGUCACUUACAGAUGGACCCGCGGCGCAUUAGCUAGUUGGUGGGGUAAUGGCUCACCAAGGCGACGAUGCGUAGCCGACCUGAGAGGGUGAUCGGCCACACUGGGACUGAGACNCNGCCCAGACUCCUACGGGAGGCAGCAGUAGGGAAUCUUCCGCAAUGGACGAAAGUCUGACGGAGCAACGCCGCGUGAGUGAUGAAGGUUUUCGGAUCGUAAAGCUCUGUUGUUAGGGAAGAACAAGUGCGAGAGUAACUGCUCGCACCUUGACGGUACCUAACCAGAAAGCCACGGCUAACUACGUGCCAGCAGCCGCGGUAAUACGUAGGUGGCAAGCGUUGUCCGGAAUUAUUGGGCGUAAAGGGCUCGCAGGCGGUUUCUUAAGUCUGAUGUGAAAGCCCCCGGCUCAACCGGGGAGGGUCAUUGGAAACUGGGAAACUUGAGUGCA
rnacentral:rRNA from 2 species